CGAAGGGGGCUAGCGUUGUUCGGAAUCACUGGGCGUAAAGCGCACGCAGGCGGAUUGAUAAGUCAGGGGUGAAAUCCCGGAGCUCAACUUCGGAGUUGCCUUUGAUACUGUCUGUCUUCGAGUUCGGGAGAGGUUGGCGGAAUUCCUAGUGUAGAGGUGAAAUUCGUAGAUAUUAGGAAGAACACCAGUGGCGAAGGCGGCCAACUGGCCCGAUACUGACGCUCAUGUGCGAAAGCGUGGGGAGCAAACAGGAUUAGAUACCCUGGUAGUCCACGCUGUAAACUAUGGAUGCUAGCCGUUGGGGAGCUUGCUCUUCAGUGGCGCAGCUAACGUCUUAAGCAUCCCGCCUGGGGAGUACGGUCGCAAGAUUA
rnacentral:rRNA from 1 species